GACGAACGCUGGCGGCGUGCUUAACACAUGCAAGUCGAACGGAAAGGCCUUUUCGGCGGUACUCGAGUGGCGAACGGGUGAGUAACACGUGGGUGAUCUGCCCUGCACUCUGGGAUAAGCCUGGGAAACUGGGUCUAAUACCGGAUAGGACCGCACUUUAGUGUGUGUGGUGGAAAGUUUUUUCGGCGUAGGAUGAGCCCGCGGCCUAUCAGCUUGUUGGUGGGGUAAUGGCCUACCAAGGCGGCGACGGGUAGCCGGACUGAGAGGUUGGUCGGCCACAUUGGGACUGAGAUACGGCCCAGACUCCUACGGGAGGCAGCAGUGGGGAAUAUUGCACAAUGGGCGCAAGCCUGAUGCAGCGACGCCGCGUGGGGGAUGACGGCCUUCGGGUUGUAAACUCCUUUCGCCAGGGACGAAGCGUUUUGUGACGGUACCUGGAGAAGAAGCACCGGCUAACUACGUG
rnacentral:rRNA from 1 species